rnacentral:rRNA from 1 species
GACGAACGCUGGCGGCGUGCCUAAUACAUGCAAGUAGAACGCUGAAGAGAGGAGCUUGCUCUUCUUGGAUGAGUUGCGAACGGGUGAGUAACGCGUAGGUAACCUGCCUUGUAGCGGGGGAUAACUAUUGGAAACGAUAGCUAAUACCGCAUAACAAUGGAUGACACAUGUCAUUUAUUUGAAAGGGGCAAUUGCUCCACUACAAGAUGGACCUGCGUUGUAUUAGCUAGUAGGUGAGGUAACGGCUCACCUAGGCGACGAUACAUAGCCGACCUGAGAGGGUGAUCGGCCACACUGGGACUGAGACACGGCCCAGACUCCUACGGGAGGCAGCAGUAGGGAAUCUUCGGCAAUGGGGGCAACCCUGACCGAGCAACGCCGCGUGAGUGAAGAAGGUUUUCGGAUCGUAAAGCUCUGUUGUAAGUCAAGAACGAGUGUGAGAGUGGAAAGUUCACACUGUGACGGUAGCUUACCAGAAAGGGACGGCUAACUACGUGCCAGCAGCCGCGGUAAUGCGUAGGUCCCGAGCGUUGUCCGGAUUUAUUGGGCGUAAAGCGAGCGCAGGCGGUUUGAUAAGUCUGAAGUUAAAGGCUGUGGCUCAACCAUAGUUCGCUUUGGAAACUGUCAAACUUGAGUGCAGAAGGGGAGAGUGGAAUUCCAUGUGUAGCGGUGAAAUGCGUAGAUAUAUGGAGGAACACCGGUGGCGAAAGCGGCUCUCUGGUCUGUAACUGACGCUGAGGCUCGAAAGCGUGGGGAGCGAACAGGAUUAGAUACCCUGGUAGUCCACGCCGUAAACGAUGAGUGCUAGGUGUUGGAUCCUUUCCGGGAUUCAGUGCCGCAGCUAACGCAUUAAGCACUCCGCCUGGGGAGUACGACCGCAAGGUUGAAACUCAAAGGAAUUGACGGGGGCCCGCACAAGCGGUGGAGCAUGUGGUUUAAUUCGAAGCAACGCGAAGAACCUUACCAGGUCUUGACAUCCCGAUGCUAUUUCUAGAGAUAGAAAGUUACUUCGGUACAUCGGUGACAGGUGGUGCAUGGUUGUCGUCAGCUCGUGUCGUGAGAUGUUGGGUUAAGUCCCGCAACGAGCGCAACCCCUAUUGUUAGUUGCCAUCAUUCAGUUGGGCACUCUAGCGAGACUGCCGGUAAUAAACCGGAGGAAGGUGGGGAUGACGUCAAAUCAUCAUGCCCCUUAUGACCUGGGCUACACACGUGCUACAAUGGUUGGUACAACGAGUUGCGAGUCGGUGACGGCAAGCUAAUCUCUUAAAGCCAAUCUCAGUUCGGAUUGUAGGCUGCAACUCGCCUACAUGAAGUCGGAAUCGCUAGUAAUCGCGGAUCAGCACGCCGCGGUGAAUACGUUCCCGGGCCUUGUACACACCGCCCGUCACACCACGAGAGUUUGUAACACCCGAAGUCGGUGAGGUAACCUUUUGGAGCCAGCCGCCUAAGGUGGGAUAGAUGAUUGGGGUG